rnacentral:rRNA from 1 species
UACGUAGGGUGCGAGCGUUAAUCGGAAUUACUGGGCGUAAAGCGUGCGCAGGCGGUUCGUUAAGUCAGAUGUGAAAGCCCCGGGCUCAACCUGGGAACUGCAUUUGAAACUGGCGGGCUUGAGUAUGGCAGAGGGGGUGGAAUUCCGCGUGUAGCAGUGAAAUGCGUAGAGAUGCGGAGGAACACCGAUGGCGAAGGCAGCCCCCUGGGCCAAUACUGACGCUCAGGCACGAAAGCGUGGGGAGCAAACAGG